rnacentral:tRNA from 1 species
GCCUGGGUUGUUCAAUUGAUUGAGCAUCUGACUUCAGCUCAGGUCAUGAUGUCACAGUUUGUGGGUUCAAGCCCCUCGCCGGGCU